GUAGUAAGUUAAAAAAAAAAAGAAAAAAAAAAAAACUGGAUGAUGAACUGAUAGAAAUAAUAAUUUAUAACAUUUUAUCUCUAACUAUUGUUAAUAGCGAAUUAAAUAAAAAGUAUUUGAAAAAUAAAAUAAUAGAUAAAAUAAUUAUUAAAAAUAUUAAUUAUAUUUUAAACAACAUUUUUAUAUUAUCAUUUCAUAAUAUCCAAAAAAUAUUAUUCAUAAUUGAUCUUAUAUUAAAUAAUGAAGGAGUAUAUUAUAAUUUUAAUCAAAUAAAAAAACAGACGAAUUUUGAAAGUACUUUCACCAAUGGCAAUGAUAAUGUUAUUCCAAAUAAUUUUAGUACAACAGGUAUAAAAAAUAGUAGUAAUAAUAAUAAUAAUAAUAAUAAUAAUAAUCAUAAUAACAGUCAUAAUAUUAGUUAUAAAUAUAGCUAUCAAAAUGGUUAUAAACAAAAUGAUAACUCUAUUAUUAAAACAGAACAGAGUAAAACAUGGAAACCACUUACAAAAAAAAAAAAAGAAACAUGCAAACAACAUAUGGACAAAACAAGUGGACAAUGUAUAAACGAAACCGUUAGCAAAAACUUUACUGAUGUAUACAGUAUUAAUAAUCAUAUUAACGAUAUUUUUAUUUAUAUAGAAAAAAGAGAUAUUUAUUUGAGUAUUUUUCAUUUUAAUUAUAUAUUUACUAAUGAUGGUGAUAGUUAUGAAAAGUGUUUUCUCGAAAAAUAUGAAUUUUAUUCAUAUUUUCAUCUUUUUUUAUGUAAUAUUAUGAAGCUAUAUAAAAGUACAAAUAUGGCUCAAGAUGUGCUAUACAUUAAAAAAAAAAAAUAUAUAAAUUUAUAUGAAUCAGUAAUAAAAUAUAAUGAAGAAAAUAAUAAGUUGAUACAGGAAAAAGAUAGAGAAGCAAUGUUUACUUCGUUAGAGAACAAUAAUACAAGUUCGUCUUCGUCACAUGACAAUGAUAAUGACAAUGAUACGACUUCAUUAAAAAGUGAAAAUAUGUUUACGGAUACUAUCAUAAAAACGGAUGUAGUCGCAAGUAUAGACACGCGGACAAAUACAGACACGCGAGCAAGUAUAGAUACAGAUACCAACGCAAACGAAAAUACGAACAUAAAUUACAAAAAUCAACCUGUACUAAAUGGACAUGAACCAAACCAAAUGACAACGAACUUCCCCAAAAAAGCUGUAUAUAUAGAAAAGAACAAAGUAAAAAAAGAAUCCUUAAUAAAACAAAGUAAUAUAGAGGAAUAUAUAGAAUAUAAUAUACUAAAUAAAAAAAAGAUAAAACGAUUAUAUAAAUAUAAAAAAAAGCAAAAAUUAUUAAUAAUUAGUAAAACGUUUAAUAAUAAGGAAACAUCAUAUAUACCUAUAAAAUUUUUUCCAAAUUGUAGUAGUAGUAGUAAUAAUAAUAAUAACAACAAUAAUAGCAAUAUACGCACACAUAAUAAUCUUAAAUUCCAAACAUUAUCAACAAGUAUACUCACAAAAGUCCAUUUAUUAUUACUUUACACCAAUAUUGUAUUAUUUUUUAAUUUAUUUAAUUCGGUUUUAUAUUUGUGGGUAUAUAAAUUCAUAGCACUUCUUAUCAAUAUAUUAAAUAAUUUUAAUAACAAAUUUUAUUUUUAUUUAGAUAAUUCAAAUGUGUUAUCAUAUUUUAAUAAUGAAAAUGUAUAUACUAUUAAUAAACGUACUUUUUAUAAUCCAUAUAAAACAUAUGUCAAUAAAUUACAAACUAAAAAAUCUUAUACUUUAAAAGCCUUAUUACAAAAAAAAUCAAAAACGGAUUAUAAUAUAAAAAUGGAUUCUUCUUAUUCUAAUUAUGGUUGCAUUGAAAUUUAUGAUAAAAGUAAAAAAGGAGAUAAAAGUAAAUUAUUUUUUCAUCAUUUUGUUUCAGUACAAAUUCUUAGGUACUAUACCAUUUUGUCUCUUCUCGAAAUAGAAAAUGCUCACAAAGGUAUUUUGUCUUGCCUAUUAGGAGACGUGUACAACAAAACAAUCAGUAGUAUCUGUCAGUUUCAUCGAAAAGAAGAUCAUUAUGACAUUUUUUUUCAAAAUAAAAAUACAUGGUUUGAUUCAAAUGGUAUGUAUAUGGAAAAUAAAAACAUAGACUUGUACAUUUUAAUUUGUGAUAUAAAAAGAAAACAAUGUAACAACAGUAAAGAUAUAGUUUUGUAUUCAUUGUCGUAUUUGUAUUUGUUUAUAUUAUUUAAUUAUGUUAACAUUUUAAUGCAUUUUUCGCUAAUGGAUAAAAUAUUCAUAAAAAAUGACAUCGUCCGUUCUGCUAAUAAUAUAUAUAGUAGUGACAAAAGUUUACCACUUGUGUAUAAUGGUUAUAACGUGGGUGGUAAUAAUAUCAGUGGCUGCAUAGAAAGUGUUAGCCUAAAGAGUAGUAUAAGUAACACGGACAAAGGCGAAGGUACGAAAAAAGACACUAUUAACGAAGAGAAUAUAAUUACAAAAAAAAGUAACAAGAUAACAAAAUUAAUAAAAAAAAUUAAUAUAUUUAUCAAACAUAAUAAUAUAAGAUUAGAGCUCUUAGAAUUUCGUAAAUGUUCACACAUAUUAGAGCUAAUUAAAAAAAAAUUAUUAUUUUAAUGGUAGUUUAAUUACGUUACCAUUUUAUGUAAACCUAAAUAUAUUUUAUUUGUUAUAUCAAUGUAAUAAUAUACAAAACGGAGUUAGUGGUAGUUCAAACGGUUGUUUUAAUAAAAACAAUCAUACAAAUAUGUUCCA
rnacentral:lncRNA from 1 species